GAAGUGCGAUAAGCAAUGCGAAUUGCAGAACCGUGAGUCAUCAGAUUUUUGAACGCAACUGGCGCUGGCUGGGUCUCCAGCCAGCAUGCUUGUUUCAGUGUCUUAUUUUCUCCUCACCCAAACCUUAAUGCGAGAGAUACCCUUCUCUUGCUAAGCAUGAAAGCACAUUGCACCUGCGAGCGACUUCUUGACUAGUUCAGGAGUCGCACUCAAUGCAGCCGUCACAUUUCUCACAAUGUGAACUCAUUGAGAGCAGAGGCUGUCAGCUAACGCUGUCGGUGCUUAGUCACUCAAACUUUCUUUGCAUCUGAAAUCAAGCAGGACCACCCGCUGAACUUAAGC
rnacentral:misc_RNA from 1 species